UGCGAUACUGAAAGCAGCAGAGAGUGGUAGUGUUGUGGAAAACGUGGAUCUUUCUGGGCGGCAAUUGAGGCUAUUUCCUGAGGCUUUUGGUAGGCUUCAUGGGUUGCUUCUGCUCAAUCUCUCUCACAAUCAGCUAGAGGUCAUUCCUGAUUCAAUCGCGGGACUUGUGAAACUUGAGGAGCUUGAUGUUUCUUCCAACCUUCUUGUCUCACUGCCUGACUCUGUUGGAUUGUUGCGAAAUCUUAAGGUCCUAAAUGUGUCAGGAAACAAGUUGAAUGCUCUCCCUGAAAGUGUUGCUCUUUGCAGUUCUUUGGUGGACUUAGAUGCUAGUUUUAACAACUUGAUGUCUUUACCAACAAAUAUUGGGUAUGGGCUGGUGAAUCUUGAAAGGCUUUCAAUCCAGCUGAAUAAGAUCCGUUUUCUUCCACCAUCUAUUUGUGAAAUGAAGUCUUUGAGAUACUUGGAUGUUCAUUUCAAUGAGCUUCAUGGCCUGCCACUUGCAAUUGGGAGAUUAACAAAUCUUGAGGUCCUGAACUUAAGCAGCAAUUUCAGUGACUUGACUGAACUUCCUGAAACAAUUGGUGAUCUAACUAACCUGACAGAGCUCAAUCUGAGCAACAACCAAAUUCGAGCUCUUCCCCAUACAUUUGGUAGGCUUGAAAAUCUGAACAAGCUCAACUUGGAUGAAAAUCCACUCAUAAUUCCUCCGAAGGAGAUAGUGCACAAGGGCGUUCAAGCUAUCAGGGAGUUCAUGCAAAAGGGGUGGCUCAAUAUGUUAGCAGAGGAACAACAGAGGAGAAUGCAGGAGUCAAAUCAGCAACAAGCUCAAACUGGAUGGCUGGCAUGGGGCACUUCCAUGUUGAAUAACUUUGUGUCUGGGGUUUCUGAAAGUGUUUCAGGAUAUAUAGGAGGGACAAAAGCUCCACGGGAUCCAUAUCUGGACCAGCAGUUAUGAAUUUUAUUCAGCUUCUGGUUUGUUUCUGUAAAUUCUCAGUGCAUGCGGUCUGGCAGUAUGUAAAGCUGGUGAAAUUUGCCUUUAGUCUCUGUUAUGCUGGUGCAUCUCCAUGAACUUUGUUCGAAGUUUGUGUAUUCUAGACUAUAAGUAUCAGCUUAUGUGGUAGAACACACAUUUAAAUACAACUUUAGGUACCCAAA
rnacentral:misc_RNA from 1 species